rnacentral:rRNA from 1 species
UACGUAGGGUGCGAGCGUUAAUCGGAAUUACUGGGCGUAAAGCGUGCGCAGGCGGCGCGUUAAGACAGGUGUGAAAGCCCCGAGCUUAACUUGGGAAUUGCGCUUGUGACUGGCGUGCUGGAGUGUGGCAGAGGGAGGUGGAAUUCCACGCGUAGCAGUGAAAUGCGUAGAGAUGUGGAGGAACACCGGUGGCGAAGGCGGCAUCCUGGACCAACACUGACGCUGAGUGAGCGAAAGCCAGGGGAGCAAACGGG